UGAAAUUCAAAACAUGCCAGAAUAUUCUACUCUCCUCCAUGUUGAUCGUUGUCUCUAUGAAACAAUCGGAGGGCCUGUAGAAGCUGGAAAUGGUUCCAGUAAUGAACCAGAAGAGAGCCUUUACAUAAAUGUGGCUGCAGAUCAAUAAAGACAUGCUCAUGGACAGAACCAAUGGAGCGGAUAAAAACAUGAAAAACAAAAUGCUUGUUUCAGCAAUUGAGUGUAUUUGCUGCUUUUGUGUAAAUAGUGCAGAGCCUUUUUUUAAUAAAGGCCUUUCUAGGAACAUGCUAAAUGCUUUGCAGAUCAACUGUAUACUUACUUUCUGUGUACUUAUAUUUAGUGUAAAACAUUGUACUGCAACAUUAUUUGUUACUUGUCUGAUUCAGAUCAUGUGGCUCUAACCUUGUUGUACAUUUGGUGAUAUUAGAGCCAGAUACUAAUAUAUGCAGUAUGGACACAUGCUUUAGCACUGUAGAUGCACACAGUGGACACACAAAUACUGUAUAUCAUGAAUAAAACCCAAAUGCAAUUAUACCUGCAUGAACUGUUCAGUGAAUGAUUCUUACUAGAUGCUACCACAGGG